UACAGAGGUUGCAAGCGUUAAUCGGAAUUACUGGGCGUAAAGGGUGCGUAGGCGGUUUAUUAAGUGGGAUGUGAAAGACCAGGGCUUAACCUUGGGGUGUCAUCUUAUACUGGUAAACUAGAGUGAAGGAGAGGGCAGUGGAAUUUCCGGCGUAGCGGUGAAAUGCGUAGAUCUCGGAAAGAACACCGGUGGCGAAGGCGGCUGCCUGGCCUUUAACUGACGCUGAGGCACGAAAGCGUGGGUAGCGAACAGG
rnacentral:rRNA from 1 species